rnacentral:rRNA from 1 species
GAUGAACGCUGGCGGCGUGCCUAAUACAUGCCAGUCGAGCGAACGGACGAGAAGCUUGCUUCUCUGAUGUUAGCGGCGGACGGGUGAGUAACACGUGGAUAACCUACCUAUAAGACUUGGAUAACUUCGGGAAACCGGAGCUAAUACCGGAUAAUAUUUUGAACCGCAUGGUUCAAAAGUGAAAGACGGUCUUUCUGUCACUUAUAGAUGGAUCCGCUCUGCAUUAGCUAGUUGGUAAGGUAACGGCUUACCAAGGCAACGAUGCAUAGCCGACCUGAGAGGGUGAUCGGCCACACGGGAACUGAGACACGGUCCAGACUCCUACGGGAGGCAGCAGUAGGGAAUAUUCCGCAAUGGGCGAAAGCAUGACGGAGCAACGCCGCGUGAGUGAUGAAGGUCUUCGGAUCGUAAAACUCUGUUAUUAGGGAAGAACAUAUGUGUAAGUAACUGUGCACAUCUUGACGGUACCUAAUCAGAAAGCCACGGCUAACUACGUG